AGUUGUAAUCUCGAGAAGUAUUUUCCGCGCCGGACCGCAUACAAGUCUGUUGGAAUACAGCGUCAUAGUGGUGAGAACCCCGUAACUGAUGCGGAUGCCCGGUGCUUUGUGAUAUACUUUCGAAGAGUCGAGUUGUUUGGGAAUGCAGCUCAAAUUGGGUGGUAAAUUCCAUCUAAAGCUAAAUAUUGGAGCAAGACCGAUAGCGAACAAGUACCGUGAGGGAAAGAUGAAAAGCACUUUGGAAAGAGAGUUAACAGUACGUGAAAUUGUUGGAAGGGAAACGCUUGAAGUCAGACUUGCUAUUCGGAGUUCAGCCGCAAGGUGUAUUCUUCGAUUUGCAGGCCAGCAUCAGUUUUUGGGGGUGGAAAAUCGUGGUUUGAAGGUAGCAGUUUCGGCUG
rnacentral:rRNA from 1 species